rnacentral:rRNA from 1 species
CAGGUAACAUCAAAUCGUACCCCAAACCGACACAGGUGGUCAGGUAGAGAAUACCAAGGCGCUUGAGAGAACUCGGGUGAAGGAACUAGGCAAAAUGGUGCCGUAACUUCGGGAGAAGGCACGCUGACACGUAGGUGAAGUGAUUUACUCAUGGAGCUGAAGUCAGUCGAAGAUACCAGCUGGCUGCAACUGUUUAUUAAAAACACAGCACUGUGCAAACACGAAAGUGGACGUAUACGGUGUGACGCCUGCCCGGUGCCGGAAGGUUAAUUGAUGGGGUCAGCGCAAGCGAAGCUCCUGAUCGAAGCCCCGGUAAACGGCGGCCGUAACUAUAACGGUCCUAAGGUAGCGAAAUUCCUUGUCGGGUAAGUUCCGACCUGCACGAAUGGCGUAAUGAUGGCCAGGCUGUCUCCACCCGAGACUCAGUGAAAUUGAACUCGCUGUGAAGAUGCAGUGUACCCGCGGCAAGACGGAAAGACCCCGUGAACCUUUACUAUAGCUUGACACUGAACAUUGAGCCUUGAUGUGUAGGAUAGGUGGGAGGCUUUGAAGUGUGGACGCCAGUCUGCAUGGAGCCGACCUUGAAAUACCACCCUUUAAUGUUUGAUGUUCUAACGUGGACCCGUGAUCCGGGUUGCGGACAGUGUCUGGUGGGUAGUUUGACUGGGGCGGUCUCCUCCUAAAGAGUAACGGAGGAGCACGAAGGUUGGCUAAUCCUGGUCGGACAUCAGGAGGUUAGUGCAAUGGCAUAAGCCAGCUUGACUGCGAGCGUGACGGCGCGAGCAGGUGCGAAAGCAGGUCAUAGUGAUCCGGUGGUUCUGAAUGGAAGGGCCAUCGCUCAACGGAUAAAAGGUACUCCGGGGAUAACAGGCUGAUACCGCCCAAGAGUUCAUAUCGACGGCGGUGUUUGGCACCUCGAUGUCGGCUCAUCACAUCCUGGGGCUGAAGUAGGUCCCAAGGGUAUGGCUGUUCGCCAUUUAAAGUGGUACGCGAGCUGGGUUUAGAACGUCGUGAGACAGUUCGGUCCCUAUCUGCCGUGGGCGCUGGAGAACUGAGGGGGGCUGCUCCUAGUACGAGAGGACCGGAGUGGACGCAUCACUGGUGUUCGGGUUGUCAUGCCAAUGGCACUGCCCGGUAGCUAAAUGCGGAAGAGAUAAGUGCUGAAAGCAUCUAAGCACGAAACUUGCCCCGAGAUGAGUUCUCCCUGAGACUUUAGGUCUCCUGAAGGAACGUUGAAGACGACGACGUUGAUAGGCCGGGUGUGUAAGCGCAGCGAUGCGUUGAGCUAACCGGUACUAAUGAACCGUGAGGCUUAACCUUACA